GACAGAGGCCUCAAGCGUUAGGCGGAAUCACUGGGCUUAAAGCGUGUGUAGGCGGACUUCUAAGUGCCUUGUGAAAUCCCACGGCUCAACCGUGGAACUGCUGGGCAUACUGGGAGUCUUGGGCCAUUCAGGGGCAACUGGAACAAGCGGUGGAGCGGUGAAAUGCGUAGAUAUCGCUUGGAACGCCGAAGGUGAAAACAGGUUGCUGGGGAUGCGCCGACGCUGAGACACGAAAGCCAGGGGAGCAAGCGGG
rnacentral:rRNA from 1 species